rnacentral:rRNA from 1 species
CAGUUGCCACGGUAAUACAGAGGGUGCGAGCGUUAAUCGGAUUUACUGGGCGUAAAGCGUGCGUAGGCGGCUUCUUAAGUCGGAUGUGAAAUCCCUGAGCUUAACUUAGGAAUUGCAUUCGAUACUGGGAAGCUAGAGUAUGGGAGAGGAUGGUAGAAUUCCAGGUGUAGCGGUGAAAUGCGUAGAGAUCUGGAGGAAUACCGAUGGCGAAGGCAGCCAUCUGGCCUAAUACUGACGCUGAGGUACGAAAGCAUGGGGAGCAAACAGGAUUAGAUACCCCGGUAGUCCCUGUCUCUUAUAC